rnacentral:snRNA from 1 species
CGUCGCAAAAAAAUUGCA